CGCUUUGCAUUCGGCGGGAGCCCGCCCUAUAUUGCAAGUGCCGGGAGCGAAAGCCUCCGGCUAUGGCGAUAAAUGGUCACCGCAAUAAACCUUUCGGACCCGGGGGCGGUACCCGGCGCCUCCACCGGAACCCGUUUUCCGAGCUCGCGCCCGGGCGGGCUGCGGCGGGGGCGAAACAGGAUCGACGAGGGCGUAAAGGGUGCGCUUUUGCCCGGCAUGAUACCGCCGUUAUCGGGUCAAACCUAUAGUUGCGAAUGACAACUAUGCUCCGGUGGCCGUCGCUGCGUAAGCGGUGAAGGUACUGGGAACAAGCCCCGGGGGGUAGCACUCUCGGGCGGGGUCUGGAGGCGCCCGGCAACAGAAGCCUCCACU
rnacentral:tmRNA from 1 species